rnacentral:rRNA from 1 species
CGGGCGGACGGGUGAGUAACGCGUGGGGAACCUGCCUUACACAGGGGGAUAACAGUUAGAAAUGGCUGCUAAUACCGCAUAACCCGCUGGGGUCGCAUGACUCUGACGGAAAAGAUUGUAUCGGUGUAAGAUGGACCCGCGUCUGAUUAGCUGGUUGGUGAGGUAACGGCUCACCAAGGCGACGAUCAGUAGCCGACCUGAGAGGGUGAUCGGCCACAUUGGGACUGAGACACGGCCCAAACUCCUACGGGAGGCAGCAG